GACGAACGCUGGCGGCGUGCUUAGCACAUGCAAGUCGAGCGAUGAAGUUCCUUCGGGAAUGGAUUAGCGGCGGACGGGUGAGUAACACGUGGGUAACCUGCCUCAUAGAGGGGAAUAGCCUUUCGAAAGGAAGAUUAAUACCGCAUAAGAUUGUAGCUUCGCAUGAAGCAGCAAUUAAAGGAGUAAUCCGCUAUGAGAUGGACCCGCGUCGCAUUAGCUAGUUGGUGAGGUAACGGCUCACCAAGGCGACGAUGCGUAGCCGACCUGAGAGGGUGAUCGGCCACAUUGGGACUGAGACACGGCCCAGACUCCUACGGGAGGCAGCAGUGGGGAAUAUUGCACAAUGGGGGAAACCCUGAUGCAGCAACGCCGCGUGAGUGAUGACGGUCUUCGGAUUGUAAAACUCUGUCUUCAGGGACGAUAAUGACGGUACCUGAGGAGGAAGCCACGGCUAACUACGUGCCAGCCGCCGCGGUAAGAC
rnacentral:rRNA from 1 species